CCUACGGGGGGCAGCAGUGGGGAAUAUUGGGCAAUGGGCGCAAGCCUGACCCAGCAACGCCGCGUGAAGGAAGAAGGCCCUCGGGUUGUAAACUUCUUUUCUAUAGGACGAAGAAGUGACGGUACUAUAGGAAUAAGCCACGGCUAACUACGUGCGAGCAGCCGCGGUAAUACGUAGGUGGCGAGCGUUAUCCGGAUUUACUGGGUGUAAAGGGAGCGUAGACGGCUGUGCAAGUCUGAAGUGAAAGCCCGUGGCUCAACCGCGGAACUGCUUUGGAAACUGUAUAGCUUGAGUACUGGAGAGGCAGGCGGAAUUCCUAGUGUAGCGGUGAAAUGCGUAGAUAUUAGGAGGAACACCAGUGGCGAAGGCGGCCUGCUGGACAGAAACUGACGUUGAGGCUCGAAAGCGUGGGGAGCAAACAGGAUUAGAUACCCGGGUAGUC
rnacentral:rRNA from 1 species